UGAAACAGAGGGCAAGUGGUACAUACCUGAAGAAAUCUCUGCACAACAACUACAACAUUAACCAAUUUGUCCCAGCAUCAGUUGUGCCAUCAUUAUUUUUGUGUGUUGACCCAAAAGGAAUUUAUCUGAGAAGAAGAGAAUCACUUAAUUAUAGACAAACAAAUUAAGAGGAAAACAAGUUAAAGCCCAGAAACAAUAAAGCAUGGCUUUAUUACUUACCCUAGAGUUGUCCUUGCUUCGGUAUCCUGAACCUAGCUUUUCAUAGGUCAAGAGUUUGCUUCAGCUAUUCCUGCACCUGAGGAUAGAUUUCAACUAUGCACCUGUUACUCGCAGGGUAAGGUUUCCUUAAAGAGCAGCCAAAUAGGAAGAGGAUGGGUGGGAGAUGAGAACCUUUAUAUGGGAGAAGGGGAGAUCUGGAGGGCGGUUGGAUCGGAGUGACCAGCGCCAUGCACGGAGUUUGUUGGGAGUAGGCAUGCACGGAGGUUGUU
rnacentral:lncRNA from 1 species